rnacentral:rRNA from 1 species
AGAGUUUGAUCAUGGCUCAGGAUGAACGCUAGCGGCAGGCUUAAUACAUGCAAGUCGAGGGGCAGCACGGGUAGCAAUACCUGGUGGCGACCGGCAAACGGGUGCGGAACACGUACGCAACCUUCCCAUAACUGGUGAAUAGCCUUCCGAAAGGGAGAUUAAUACACCGUAACAUAACGAAAAGGCAUCUUUUGUUAUUAUAGGCUUCGGCCGGUUUUGGAUGGGCGUGCGCCUGAUUAGGUAGUUGGCGGGGUUAACGGCCCACCAAGCCUGCGAUCAGUAACUGGUGUGAGAGCACGACCAGUCACACGGGCACUGAGACACGGGCCCGACUCCUACGGGAGGCAGCAGUAAGGAAUAUUGGUCAAUGGACGAAAGUCUGAACCAGCCAUGCCGCGUGAAGGAUUAAGGCCUUCUGGGUUGUAAACUUCUUUUAUCUGGGACGAAAAAAGGGCUUUCUAGCUCACUUGACGGUACCAGAGGAAUAAGCACCGGCUAACUCCGUG